rnacentral:rRNA from 1 species
CAGCAGCCGCGGUAAUACGUAGGGUGCGAGCGUUAGUCGGAAUUACUGGGCGUAAAGCGUGCGCAGGCGGUUCGCUAAGACAGAUGUGAAAUCCCCGGGCUCAACCUGGGAACUGCAUUUGUGACUGGCAAGCUAGAGUAUGGCAGAGGGGGGUGGAAUUCCGCGUGUAGCAGUGAAAUGCGUAGAUAUGCGGAGGAACACCGAUGGCGAAGGCAGCCCCCUGGGCCAAUACUGACGCUCAUGCACGAAAGCGUGGGGAGCAAACAGGAUUAGAUACCCGUGUAGUCCCUGUCUCUUAUAA